UCCUGAGAGCCUUCGGACAGCACCACCCACGGAGCGGUGGCCUAGAUCAGGCACACAGAAACACAGGCUCAGAGACUGCCCGGAAUGUCCCACAGAAUCCGGUUUCCCCACAAAGGGUGGGACCCAGCCACUCCCAAAUGAGGCAGGUCCAAUGGUCUGACCCGAUGCACCCCCGCUAUCCUGGAGGCCCAGCGUUCUUAAUGAUCCUCUACACCCGUAAACUCUGUAGACUUGAGGAAACAGGACAUUAAGGAGGAUUGACAGCUGUAUUCCCAAACAACAGGAGUCUGAUGUAAUGGCCAAGGCCACAUAUGGCCAGAAAUGGGGACAGAGGAAGGGGCCAAUGGACAAGAAGUGGGAAGCCCUCUCCCCCUCCAGGGAAGGGGGAAGACCAUUAUUCAUGACUAGAUGUGGCCAAAGGGCAGCACUACAGGUCACCUAAACAGAGGACUUAAUAAACUACACCUGCCCCCGAAGCCUCACUCAGCUCUGGGCUGCAGGCAGGCAGACA